CCGUCAAUUCCUUUAAGUUUUAGCCUUGCGGCCGUACUCCCCAGGCGGGGCGCUUAAUGCGUUAGCGACGGCACGGAGACCGUGGAAACAGUCCCCACACCUAGCGCCCAAUGUUUACGGCGUGGACUACCAGGGUAUCUAAUCCUGUUCGCUCCCCACGCUUUCGCUCCUCAGCGUCAGUAUCGGCCCAGAGACCCGCCUUCGCCACCGGUGUUCCUCCUGAUAUCUGCGCAUUUCACCGCUACACCAGGAAUUCCAGUCUCCCCUGCCGAACUCAAGUCUGCCCGUAUCGACCGCACGCCUCGUGUUGAGCACAAGGGUUCCACGGUCGACGCGACAAACCGCCUACGAGCUCUUUACGCCCAAUAAUUCCGGACAACGCUCGCACCCUACGUAUUAC
rnacentral:misc_RNA from 1 species